AUUUUAUAUUUGUUAACAUGCGAGUCUUCAAUGACGGCCACUCCACCUUAUAGACAUUAUAUGAUAUGCACAUUUGUGUAUUUGAUUAUAACUUGUCUGGAGUCUGGCUCGAUUUUUUUGACUCAAUUGAACGCAACGGACGUGAUUGCAAGUCCUUGUUGAACAAAUUAUAUAUAUACUACUUCAUCAUUAGUAUAUAUAGUUCGCUUCUCAUGUCGUAGCAGUCAAACGGGCGGGCGUCUUAAUUGGCGCGGUCACGAGGCUUAAUAUGCUGCGGCUGGGAAAACUUGGGCGACCGCUGUAAUACUUCUCUCUUAAACCAGAGGAAGAUUGCGGCAAUAACAGGUCUGUGAUGCCCUCAGAUGUCCCGGGCCGC
rnacentral:rRNA from 1 species